rnacentral:rRNA from 1 species
UACGUAGGGCGCAAGCGUUGUCCGGAAUUAUUGGGCGUAAAGAGCUCGUAGGCGGCUUGUCACGUCGGAUGUGAAAGCCCGGGGCUUAACUCCGGGUCUGCAUUCGAUACGGGCUGGCUAGAGUGUGGUAGGGGAGAUCGGAAUUCCUGGUGUAGCGGUGAAAUGCGCAGAUAUCGAGAGGAACACCUGCGGCGAAGGCGGGUUGCUGGGCUGACACUGACGCUGAGGCGCGAAAGCUAGGGGAGCGAACGGG